rnacentral:rRNA from 1 species
AUUGAACGCUGGCGGCAGGCCUAACACAUGCAAGUCGAACGGUAACAGGAAGCAGCUUGCUGCUUUGCUGACGAGUGGCGGACGGGUGAGUAAUGUCUGGGAAACUGCCCGAUGGAGGGGGAUAACUACUGGAAACGGUAGCUAAUACCGCAUAACGUCGCAAGACCAAAGAGGGGGACCUUCGGGCCUCUUGCCAUCGGAUGUGCCCAGAUGGGAUUAGCUUGUUGGUGAGGUAACGGCUCACCAAGGCGACGAUCCCUAGCUGGUCUGAGAGGAUGACCAGCCACACUGGAACUGAGACACGGUCCAGACUCCUACGGGAGGCAGCAGUGGGGAAUAUUGCACAAUGGGCGCAAGCCUGAUGCAGCCAUGCCGCGUGUAUGAAGAAGGCCUUCGGGUUGUAAAGUACUUUCAGCGGGGAGGAAGGUGUUGUGGUUAAUAACCGCAGCAAUUGACGUUACCCGCAGAAGAAGCACCGGCUAACUCCGUGCCAGCAGCCGCGGUAAUACGGAGGGUGCAAGCGUUAAUCGGAAUUACUGGGCGUAAAGCGCACGCAGGCGGUCUGUCAAGUCGGAUGUGAAAUCCCCGGGCUCAACCUGGGAACUGCAUUCGAAACUGGCAGGCUUGAGUCUCGUAGAGGGGGGUAGAAUUCCAGGUGUAGCGGUGAAAUGCGUAGAGAUCUGGAGGAAUACCGGUGGCGAAGGCGGCCCCCUGGACGAAGACUGACGCUCAGGUGCGAAAGCGUGGGGAGCAAACAGGAUUAGAUACCCUGGUAGUCCACGCCGUAAACGAUGUCUAUUUGGAGGUUGUGCCCUUGAGGCGUGGCUUCCGGAGCUAACGCGUUAAAUAGACCGCCUGGGGAGUACGGCCGCAAGGUUAAAACUCAAAUGAAUUGACGGGGGCCCGCACAAGCGGUGGAGCAUGUGGUUUAAUUCGAUGCAACGCGAAGAACCUUACCUGGUCUUGACAUCCACAGAACUUUCCAGAGAUGGAUUGGUGCCUUCGGGAACUGUGAGACAGGUGCUGCAUGGCUGUCGUCAGCUCGUGUUGUGAAAUGUUGGGUUAAGUCCCGCAACGAGCGCAACCCUUAUCCUUUGUUGCCAGCGGUCCGGCCGGGAACUCAAAGGAGACUGCCAGUGAUAAACUGGAGGAAGGUGGGGAUGACGUCAAGUCAUCAUGGCCCUUACGACCAGGGCUACACACGUGCUACAAUGGCAUAUACAAAGAGAAGCGACCUCGCGAGAGCAAGCGGACCUCAUAAAGUAUGUCGUAGUCCGGAUUGGAGUCUGCAACUCGACUCCAUGAAGUCGGAAUCGCUAGUAAUCGUGGAUCAGAAUGCCACGGUGAAUACGUUCCCGGGCCUUGUACACACCGCC